GAUGAACGCUGGCGGCGUGCUUAACACAUGCAAGUCGAACGAUGAAGCCCAGCUUGCUGGGUGGAUUAGUGGCGAACGGGUGAGUAACACGUGAGUAACCUGCCCUUGACUCUGGGAUAAGCCUGGGAAACUGGGUCUAAUACCGGAUAGGAACGUCCACCGCAUGGUGGGUGUUGGAAAGAUUUAUCGGUCAUGGAUGGACUCGCGGCCUAUCAGCUUGUUGGUGAGGUAAUGGCUCACCAAGGCGACGACGGGUAGCCGGCCUGAGAGGGUGACCGGCCACACUGGGACUGAGACACGGCCCAGACUCCUACGGGAGGCAGAAGUGGGGAAUAUUGCACAAUGGGCGAAAGCCUGAUGCAGCGACGCCGCGUGAGGGAUGACGGCCUUCGGGUUGUAAACCUCUUUCAGUAGGGAAGAAGCGAAAGUGACGGUACCUGCAGAAGAAGCACCGGCUAACUACGUG
rnacentral:rRNA from 1 species